GGUGGGUUAGUGCAACGGCUAGCACAGUGGCCCCAUAAGCCACAGAUCAGGGUUCGACCCCCUGACCCGCGA
rnacentral:tRNA from 1 species